GAGGCCGAAAGGCGUAGGCGAUGGAUAACAGGUUGAUAUUCCUGUACCACCUCACUCCGUUUGAGCGAUGGGGGGACGCAGGAGGAUAGGGCAAGCGCACAGCUGGUUGUGCGUCCAAGCAGUUAGGCCGGUGACGAGGCAAAUCCCGUCACCAUUAAGGCGGAGCUGUGACGGCGAGGGAAAGAUAGUACCGAAGUUCCUGAUUCCACACUGCCAAGAAAAGCCUCUAGCGAGGAGACAGGUGCCCGUACCGCAAACCGACACAGGUAGGCGAGGAGAGAAUCCUAAGGUGAGCGAGUGAACUCUCGUUAAGGAACUCGGCAAAAUGACCCCGUAACUUCGGGAGAAGGGGUGCUCUUUGGGGUGCAUAGCCCUGAGGAGCCGCAGUGAAUAGGCCCAGGCGACUGUUUAGCAAAAACACAGGUCUCUGCGAAGCCGCAAGGCGAAGUAUAGGGGCUGACGCCUGCCCGGUGCUGGAAGGUUAAGAGGAGGGGUUAGCUUACGCGAAGCUCUGAAUUGAAGCCCCAGUAAACGGCGGCCGUAACUAUAACGGUCCUAAGGUAGCGAAAUUCCUUGUCGGGUAAGUUCCGACCCGCACGAAAGGCGUAACGAUCUGGGCACUGUCUCAACGAGAGACUCGGUGAAAUUAUAGUACCUGUGAAGAUGCAGGUUACCCGCGACAGGACGGAAAGACCCCGUGGAGCUUUACUGCAGCCUGAUAUUGAAUUUCGGCACAGCUUGUACAGGAUAGGUAGGAGCCUUUGAAACCGGAGCGCCAGCUUCGGUGGAGGCGUCGGUGGGAUACUACCCUGGCUGUGUUGAACUUCUAACCCGCACCCGUGAUCCGGGUGGGAGACAGUGUCAGGCAGGCAGUUUGACUGGGGCGGUCGCCUCCUAAAGAGUAACGGAGGCGCCCAAAGGUUCCCUCAGAAUGGUUGGAAAUCAUUCGCAGAGUGUAAAGGCACAAGGGAGCUUGACUGCGAGACCUACAAGUCGAGCAGGGACGAAAGUCGGGCUUAGUGAUCCGGUGGUUCCGCAUGGAAGGGCCAUCGCUCAACGGAUAAAAGCUACCCCGGGGAUAACAGGCUUAUCUCCCCCAAGAGUCCACAUCGACGGGGAGGUUUGGCACCUCGAUGUCGGCUCAUCGCAUCCUGGGGCUGUAGUCGGUCCCAAGGGUUGGGCUGUUCGCCCAUUAAAGCGGUACGCGAGCUGGGUUCAGAACGUCGUGAGACAGUUCGGUCCCUAUCCGUCGCGGGCGCAGGAAAUUUGAGAGGAGCUGUCCUUAGUACGAGAGGACCGGGAUGGACGCACCGCUGGUGUACCAGUUGUCUUGCCAAAGGCAUCGCUGGGUAGCUAUGUGCGGACGGGAUAAGUGCUGAAAGCAUCUAAGCAUGAAGCCCCCCUCAAGAUGAGAUUUCCCAUAGCGUCAAGCUAGUAAGAUCCCUGAAAGAUGAUCAGGUAGAUAGGUUCGAGGUGGAAGCGUGGCGACACGUGGAGCUGACGAAUACUAAUCGAUCGAGGACUUAUCCUA
rnacentral:ncRNA from 1 species